rnacentral:rRNA from 1 species
GACGUAGGGCGCGAGCGUUGUCCGGAUUUAUUGGGCGUAAAGAGCUCGUAGGCGGCUUGUUGCGUCGGCUGUGAAAACCCAUGGCUCAACCGUGGGCUUGCAGCCGAUACGGGCAGGCUAGAGUUCGGUACGGGAGACUGGAAUUCCUGGUGUAGCGGUGAAAUGCGCAGAUAUCAGGAGGAACACCGGUGGCGAAGGCGGGUCUCUGGGCCGAUACUGACGCUGAGGAGCGAAAGCGUGGGGAGCGAACAGG